GGGAAGGAUCACAGAGCAUGGACACAGAGUUUAUCCAAACAUAGGCUAUGUGAGUGAAUUUAACACUUUUCAGAACAAUGUAGAAUAGAGUAUAGCUCCAUCUGAACCCCACUCAGCUGACCCCAAAAAGGUCACAUUGUUCUUGUGGCUACAACACAGGGACAUCAUGUUGAUGAGACACUUCUGGAAGUUGGGGAGUUGGUGCUGGUGUCUGGUGAGGGCCUUUGGGCUGCAUCAUCCCGUUGUGGAAAAGUGGAAGGGCAAGUAAGCACAUGCAAAAGAUA